GAUGAACGCUGGCGGCGUGCCUAAUACAUGCAAGUCGAGCGAACAGACGAGGAGCUUGCUCCUCUUACGUUAGCGGCUGACGUGUGAUUAACACGUGGAUAACCUACCUAUAAUACUUUUAUAACUUCGGGAAACCUGAUCUAAUACCGGAUAACAUGUUUAACCGCAUUGUUCAACAGUUCAAUACGGUUUUUCUGUCACUUAUAGAUUGAUCCGCGUCGCAUUAGCUAGUUGGUAAGGUAACGGCUUACCAAGGCAACGAUGCGUAGCCGACCUGAGAGGGUGAUCGGACACACUGGAACGGAGAAACGGUCCAGACUCCUACGGGAGGCAGCAGUAGGGAAUAUUACGCAAUGGGCGAAAGCAUGACGGAGCAAAGCCGAGUGAGUGAAGAAGGUCUUCGGAUCGUAAAACUCUGUUAUUAGGGAAGAAAAAAUGUGUAAGUAAAUAUGCACGUAUUGACGGUAACUAAUCAGAAAGCAACGGCUAACUACGUG
rnacentral:rRNA from 1 species